rnacentral:lncRNA from 1 species
UUCCGAUCGUCUUGGUGCCUAGAAGCAGAAUGUGCAUUUUAACAAUGUGCAGAUCGUUUAUUUGUCUCUGUAGCGGAUAGAUCGGCACGCAAUAAAAUUGGGACAACUCGUUUAUAUUUUAGUCAUGAUUACUUAAACUUUAUGGUGCAUGCAUACAGAGUAACUGACAAUAUUUUUGUUGCAAAAAAUAAAAUAGCAAAAAUACCGAACCCCGCCCAGGAACAUUCAAAACGAAAAUACCGUUAUCAAAUGGUAAAGUCAAGAGCUCAAACACAUCAAACGAAUGA